GACGAACGCUGGCGGCGUGCUUAACACAUGCAAGUCGAACGGAAAGGCCCUGCUUUUGUGGGGUGCUCGAGUGGCGAACGGGUGAGUAACACGUGAGUAACCUGCCCUUGACUUUGGGAUAACUUCAGGAAACUGGGGCUAAUACCGGAUAGGAGCUCCUGCUGCAUGGUGGGGGUUGGAAAGUUUCGGCGGUUGGGGAUGGACUCGCGGCUUAUCAGCUUGUUGGUGGGGUAGUGGCUUACCAAGGGUUUGACGGGUAGCCGGCCUGAGAGGGUGACCGGCCACAUUGGGACUGAGAUACGGCCCAGACUCCUACGGGAGGCAGCAGUGGGGAAUAUUACACAAUGGGCGGAAGCCUGAUGCAGCAACGCCGCGUGCGGGAUGACGGCCUUCGGGUUGUGAACCGCUUUCGCCUGUGACGAAGCGUGAGUGACGGUAAUGGGUAAAGAAGCACCGGCUAACUACGUG
rnacentral:rRNA from 1 species